rnacentral:sRNA from 1 species
ACUUGGAGUCUUGGAAUAUAUCCCCUGUGGAAACGGGAGACUACCGUAUAUACAUAUAAAAUUGAGAUUUUCAAUUUCUUUUAUAUCGUGCUGUUCCUGGGAAUGGAACCUGCCACUAAGGUUAACAAAACAUGUUUGCUUGUCUCUUUGCUUCUUAAAUCAGGAUGAUAUAGUGCUGGAUCUUGGUUUUAUAGAUGGGUCCAUAUUUUUGUUGUUGAUCACAAACUGCAUUUCUCCUUUUAUCGGCAUGAGCAGCAUCAGCGAUUAUAAAGUGGUAUGCAUAAUUGGUUGUGCAGUUUCUCUUAUAUUCCUCACAUAUGUGCUUUCAUUCAUCUUUCGCAAGUGGAGAAAAAAUAAUGGCUUUUGGUCUUUUGGCUUUUUUAUUAUCUUAAUAUGUGUAUCCACAAUUAUGGUAUCAACUCAAUAUGAAAAACUCAACUUAAUUUUGUGCAUGAUUUUCAUACCUUCCUUCACUUUGCUGGGGUAUGUCAUGUUAUUGAUCCAGCUCGACUUUAUGAGAAACUUGGACAGUCUGGACAAUAGAAUAAAUGAAGUCAAUAAAACCAUUCUUUUAACAACCUUAAUACCAUACCUUCAGAGUGUUAUUUUCCUUUUUGUCAUAAGGUGUCUGGAAAUGAAGUAUGGAAAUGAAAUAAUGAAUAAAGACCCAGUUUUCAGAAUCUCUCCACGGAGUAGAGAAACUCAUCCCAAUCCAGAAGAGCCCGAAGAAGAAGAUGAAGAUGUUCAAGCUGAAAGAGUCCAAGCAGCAAAUGCACUCACUGCUCCAAACUUGGAGGAGGAACCAGUCAUAACUGCAAGCUGUUUACACAAGGAAUAUUAUGAGACAAAGAAAAGUUGCUUUUCAACAAGAAAGAAGAAAACAGCCAUCAGAAAUGUUUCCUUUUGUGUUAAAAAAAGGUGAAGUUUUGGGAUUACUAGGACACAAUGGAGCUGGUAAAAGUACUUCCAUUAAAAUGAUAACUGGGUGCACAAAGCCAACUGCAGGAGUGGUGGUGUUACAAGGCAGCAGAGCAUCAGUAAGGCAACAGCAUGACAACAGCCUCAAGUUCUUGGGGUACUGCCCUCAGGAGUACUCACUGUGGCCCAAGCUUACAAUGAAAGAGCACUUGGAGUUGUAUGCAGCUGUGAAAGGACUGGGCAAAGAAGAUGCUGCUCUCAGUAUUUCACGAUUGGUGGAAGCUCUUAAGCUCCAGGAACAACUUAAGGCUCCUGUGAAAACUCUAUCAGAGGGAAUAAAGAGAAAGGUAUGGGCCGGGCUCGGAGUUUCCCUGUGCACCCAUGGCUGGGUGCCCAUGGGCUGUUCCUUGCAUUGCAGCUGUGCUUUGUGCUGAGCAUCCUGGGGAACCCAUCAGUGGUGCUUCUAGAUGAGCCAUUCACCGGGAUGGACCCCGAGGGGCAGCAGCAAAUGUGGCAGAUACUUCAGGCUACCGUUAAAAACAAGGAGAGGGGCACCCUCUUGACCACCCAUUACAUGUCAGAGGCUGAGGCUGUGUGUGACCGUAUGGCCAUGGUGGUGUCAGGAACGCUAAGGUGUAUUGGUUCCAUUCAACAUCUGAAAAACAAGUUUGGUAGAGAUUAUUUACUAGAAAUAAAAAUGAAAGAACCUACCCAGGUGGAAGCUCUCCACGCAGAGAUUUUGAAGCUUUUCCCACAGGCUGCUUGGCAGGAAAGAUAUUCCUCUUUAAUGGCGUAUAAGUUACCUGUGGAGGAUGUCCACCCUCUAUCUCAGGCCUUUUUCAAGUUAGAGGCGAUGAAACAGACCUUCAACCUGGAGGAAUACAGCCUCUCUCAGGCUACCUUGGAGCAGGUAUUCUUAGAACUCUGUAAAGAGCAGGAGCUGGGAAAUGUUGAUGAUAAAAUUGAUACAACAGUUCAAUGGAAACUUCUCCCACAGGAAGACCCUUAAAAUGAAGAACCUCCUAACAUUCAAUUUUAGGUCCUACUACAUUGUUAGUUUCCAUAAUUCUACAAGAAUGUUUCCUUUUACUUCAGUUAACAAAAGAAAACAUUUAAUAAACAUUCAAUAAUGAUUAAAGUUUUCAUUUUUAAAAAUUUAGGAUGAAGGAAACAAGGAAAUAUAGGGAAAAGUAGUAGACAAAAUUAACAAAAUCAGACAUGUUAUUCAUCCCCAACAUGGGUCUAUUUUGUGCUUAAAAAUAAUUUAAAAAUCAUACAAUAUUAGGUUGGUUUUCGGUUAUUAUCAAUAAAGCUAACACUGAGAACAUUUUACAAAU